GUUCUUUAAAGACAGGAUGGACUGG
rnacentral:piRNA from 1 species